rnacentral:rRNA from 1 species
CCUACGGGAGGCAGCAGUGAGGAAUAUUGGUCAAUGGGCGCGAGCCUGAACCAGCCAAGUAGCGUGAAGGAUGACUGCCCUACGGGUUGUAAACUUCUUUUAUAAGGGAAUAAAGUGAGGCACGUGUGCCUUUUUGUAUGUAUUUUAUCAAUAAAGAUCGGCUAAAUCCGUGCCAGCAGCCGCGGUAAUACGGAGGAUCCGCGCGUUAUCCGGAUUUAUUGGGUUUAAAGGGAGCGUAGAGGGGUUGUUAAGUCAGUUGUGAAAGUUUGCGGCUCAACCGUAAAAUUGCAAUUGAUACUGGCAGCCUUGAGUACAGGUGAGGUAGGCGGAAUUCGUGGUGUAGCGGUGAAAUGCUUAGAUAUCACGAAGAACUCCGAUUGCGAAGGCAGCUUACUAAGCUGCCACUGACACUGAGGCUCGAAAGUGUGGGUAUCAAACAGGAUUAGAUACCCUAGUAGUC